GCGCUGGGGUACGGCGGCAGAGCGGAGUGUUCACCGGGGCUUUCUGCGGGUGGAGGGGUGGAGAGGUGGAGGUAGAUGGGCGCGCUGGGUGCAGUUGGCACUGUGGGUGUGGGAACCCUCUGCAGGACCACAUAUGUGCAUACCUGCCCCGUCUGUCUGUCCGUUCUGCCCUCGCUUUGCUCAUGCGCUCCUGCAGGCAGCAGAUGAUGAAGGACACAGACAUGGCGAGGAUGAUGAUGCUGCUUACUACCGAUGCCAGUACGGCCACUCUCAACCCGCGGUCCUCUGGUUUGGGAAUGGCUACCAUAUUUACACAAUAGUCCACAUUGAAAAUCUGGGAUUUAAUUAGUAGGAGUGCAUUUCUUAGGUGUUUUUAUCUCUUAAAACAGAAAUGAUGGCAGUGAACACAGACCCUCACAGUCAGGUGGGUAGUUGCUCCACUGAGCGGUGUCGCUACGUAGGACACAGGUGAUCUUCUCGCUGCCCACCAGCUGGUACCCCUCGAGGCACCAGAACACCAACUCUGUGCCCACGAACAUCCCAGCGCCCUUCUCUACAUAGAAGGAACCUCGCCGAGGGGGAAACAGCGUCGUGCAGCUCAGGCCUGCAAAUACAAAGAACAGAUGUAUCCACAUGGUGUGUUCUCCUGCGCUCUAUCCCAUAAUCCACCUCUCCUCCAGUCUCUCUACAUUCCCACCGAGGAUUCAGCAUCUUCUGUGUUCUCCUACCGAGUUUUCAUCAUUGCACUGUCCAUCUCUACUGUCAAUAUACAGUCAAACGGAGCUCAUAUUGACUGUGCUGGAGUCAGUGUGAUUAAGCUGGCAGGGUCACUGGAUGGUGUUUAUUGUUCACACCAGUUCCAGUCCUGUGCUGGUCUCAUUAAGCCCGGCUUAACUGGCAUGGCAAUGCUGCUAGCAUUAAGCAAUCUGACUCCAUGGCAAAAUAAAUAAAUUAACUCAA